CCUACGGGCGGCAGCAGUGGGGAAUAUUGGACAAUGGGGGCAACCCUGAUCCAGCCAUGCCGCGUGUGUGAAGAAGGCCCUCGGGUUGUAAAGCACUUUCAGUGAGGAAGAACGCCUGGUGGUUAAUACCCAUCAGGAAAGACAUCACUCACAGAAGAAGCACCGGCUAACUCCGUGCCAGCAGCCGCGGUAAUACGGAGGGUGCGAGCGUUAAUCGGAAUUACUGGGCGUAAAGCGCGCGUAGGUGGCUUGAUAAGCCGGUUGUGAAAGCCCCGGGCUCAACCUGGGAACGGCAUCCGGAACUGUCAAGCUAGAGUGCAGGAGAGGAAGGUAGGAUUCCCGGUGUAGCGGUGAAAUGCGUAGAGAUCGGGAGGAAUACCAGUGGCGAAGGCGGCCUUCUGGACUGACACUGACACUGAGGUGCGAAAGCGUGGGUAGCAAACAGGAUUAGAUACCCUAGUAGUC
rnacentral:rRNA from 1 species